AUUGAACGCUGGCGGCAUGCCUUACACAUGCAAGUCGAACGGCAGCACGGGAGCAAUCCUGGUGGCGAGUGGCGAACGGGUGAGUAAUGUAUCGGAACGUGCCCAGUCGUGGGGGAUAACGCAGCGAAAGCUGUGCUAAUACCGCAUACGAUCUAUGGAUGAAAGCGGGGGAUCGCAAGACCUCGCGCGAUUGGAGCGGCCGAUAUCAGAUUAGGUAGUUGGUGGGGUAAAGGCCCACCAAGCCGACGAUCUGUAGCUGGUCUGAGAGGACGACCAGCCACACUGGAACUGAGACACGGUCCAGACUCCUACGGGAGGCAGCAGUGGGGAAUUUUGGACAAUGGGCGCAAGCCUGAUCCAGCAAUGCCGCGUGCAGGAUGAAGGCCUUCGGGUUGUAAACUGCUUUUGUACGGAACGAAACGGUUCUCUCUAAUACAGGGGGCUAAUGACGGUACCGUAAGAAUAAGCCCCGGCUAACUUCGUGCCAGCCGCCGCGGUAA
rnacentral:rRNA from 1 species